AUGCUGGGGGUCGGCUGCCGGGGCCAAGAUGUCGCUGAGCAAGAAAAGAAAGCUUGAGUCGGGGGACAGCGGAGGCGCCGGCGCCGGAGGGGAGGGAGCCGAGGAGGAAAAUGGCGGGGAGCAGGAGGCGGCCCCGCCACGACCCCGGAGGACCAAGAGCGAGCGGGACCAGCUGUACUACGAGUGCUACUCCGACGUCUCGGUCCACGAGGAGAUGAUCGCCGACCAGGUCCGCACCGAAGCCUACCGCUUAGGCAUCCUGAAGAACUGGGCCGCGCUGCGAGGCAAGACGGUGCUGGACGUGGGCGCGGGCACCGGCAUUCUCAGCAUCUUCUGUGCCCAGGCCGGGGCACGGCGCGUGUACGCGGUGGAGGCCAGCGCCAUCUGGCAACAGGCCCGGGAGGUGGUGCGGCUCAACGGGUUGGAGGACCGCGUGCACGUCCUGCCGGGCCCGGUGGAGACCGUGGAGCUGCCGGAGCGAGUGGACGCCAUCGUCAGCGAGUGGAUGGGCUACGGACUUCUGCACGAGUCCAUGCUGAGCUCCGUGCUCCACGCGCGGACCAAAUGGCUGAAGGAGGGCGGUCUCCUCCUGCCAGCUUCCGCGGAGCUCUUCGUGGCCCCGAUUAGCGACCAGAUGCUCGAGUGGCGUCUGGGUUUCUGGAGCCAGGUGAAGCAGCACUAUGGCGUGGAUAUGAGCUGCAUGGAGAGCUUCGCCACGCGCUGCCUCAUGGGCCAUUCGGAGAUCGUGGUGCAGGAUCUGUCCGGAGAGGACGUGCUGGCCCGGCCGCAGCGCUUUGCCCAGCUCGAGCUGGCCCGAGCCGGCCUGGAGCAGGAGCUGGAGGCUGGUGUGGGCGGGCGCUUCCGCUGCAGCUGCUAUGGUUCCGCGCCUCUACAUGGUUUCGCCGUCUGGUUUCAAGUGACCUUUCCCGGAGGGGACUCGGAGAAACCUCUGGUGCUGUCCACCUCGCCUUUUCACCCGGCCACCCACUGGAAGCAGGCGCUCCUCUACUUGAACGAGCCGGUGCCGGUGGAACAAGAUACGGACAUUUCCGGAGAGAUCACCCUGCUGCCCUCCCCGGACAACCCCCGGCGUCUGCGCAUACUUCUGCGCUACAAAGUGGGAGACCAUGAGGAAAAGACCAAAGACUUUGCCAUGGAGGACUGAGCGUUGCCUUUUCUCCCCCUCCACCUUCUUCGGAAGGUCCGAAGAGAAAGGGAGAUCGCCUAUGCAAGUUGGGGACAUAGCUGUCUCUUUUACCUCACCGCUCCAGUCUUCAUUUGAGGACAUUCUUCUGGCAGUGUUUAUUUUAAAAGCACUGGCAGUAUCAACAUGGCUAUACAUGAAGAGCAAUGUAUGCCACAGGGUACCAGAUGAUCCAAAGGAGCCCCACAGCCUUUGGGAGGAAGACACCUGGGAUGGAUGAAAGCCUGAGGUGUGUGGACACCCAGGCACUAUCUGAUGUGUUAUGUGGAUUGAGACUGAUAACAUGAAGCCCUUAAGGCUGCAGGAGGGGAUUAUCAGACCCUAGAAAGAGCAUCAUGAUAAAGUUCCACCUACCUCCCUCCUCAUACCAUUUAUUUAGCCCUCUAAAAAUACCCAAUCUUGUCAUUUUAUUAAACCAAUGAGCACAGUUGCUAGAAAUGCAUUCUAAUAGUCAUUGUGAUAGGUAUUUGUAAUUACAAGCUAAUGUGAACCCUGCUCAUAAAUAGAUGUCUACCACUAAAGAAAGUAAAGGCCAUUUGUUAGGACCUGGAUGGUUUUAGUGUCAGAGAAGAUGGAUACUCUGUUUUAAACACUAAGUAGAAAGGUUUCUAGAGAUGCUGAUAUACUUGACUAAAGUUCCAUACAUAAUUCUUGCUUGUGAAAUGGGACCAUACAUUGUGCAAGUGGGGCUCGGAGCCCAGUAUGGAGCUGAGGAUGACUUUGGACUCCUGAAGCUCCUGCCUCCACCUUCCAAAUGCUGGAGCUAAUAGCACUGUACCACUGUGCCCAGCAUAGUUUUUGACAAAACCUUACGCACGCACAACUCUGACUUUCUAAUUGUAAACAAAAAUUCACUCCUGUUAUACUAAUCCUGCAUUCUUCAGUUAAAAGCUGGAAACAACAUGCCACCUUAAAGGUAACAGGGGUUUUAUUAUUUGGUGAUGAAGGGGCAGUGUUACAUACUAGAAAGUCUAGAGCUGCCCAGAAGAAGCAUCUGCAGUGUAUAACUUCUUGAGUUUGACGUAGUAGGCACUCAUUUGGACAGCCCCAUUGUUUAUUUCCUUAACACUAAUCGAAUGUGACACUUUCUGGGGUCCCCAGAAAGCUGAAUCCAUGACAGUGGCAAAGACAAGUGAACUCCUUGUCAUUUGGUCAUUUGGGCAGAGAGACGUGGAUGUAAAAGAUAAAAUGGAGUUCAAGGUGACUGAAAGGCACCUGCUGCAAACAGCUGCCUGGCAUCCUGUUUACUUCCAGCCCUGCUGUUAUCCCUACAGUUUACCUAGUGCUGAGGAAAGAUGGCUCCUAAGGAGCCUUUACUAACAGGCCCCACUCCUCCACCUGCUCAUCUCUGUAGAUGGAUCUCCAUUAAUUUCAUUAUCAAUAGCUACAGAAUAUCUAAGCACUAUAAUGAAUGAGCACAUCUGCCCCCUCAAAGAACUAGGAUACAGUGGGAACAAUAAAACAACAUCAGUGAUUUUCAUGCAUCCAUAAGCCUGGAAAUCCUUUGCAGCGCUUAGCUCCACUGAGCAAGGAUGGAAAGGCAGCUGUCAUCCUUUAAGCCUCUCUGAGGAUCAAAAGUCGUGUUCCUAUCAUCAGGAAGAUUGUGAACACCUGAGAAACUUUCCCAUCUGAUGGUGCAAACUUAGACAAAAGAUGGUCUGUUUCAUAAUAGACCAAGUAUGUUAAAUAGGUGAUCCUCAGCUACUAAAAUAAAAACUAAGCCAAAUUUAUAUUCAGGGGUGUGUGUGUGUGUGCGCACGCGCGCAGGUGUCUUCCUCAGCUUCCUAUGUGAUUUCCAUGCUUCAGUUUGUUGAUGAUUUAUCCUCUUGUAAUAAAUAUUACAUGUAUUUUUCAAAUUUGU